GAUGAACGCUGGCGGCGUGCCUAUUACAUGCAAGUCGAGCGAACGGACGAGAAGCUUGCUCCUCUGAUGUUAGCGGCGGACGGGUGAGUAACACGUGGAUAACCUACCUAUAAGACUGGGAUAACUUCGGGAAACCGGAGCUAAUACCGGAUAAUAUUUUGAACCGCAUGGUUCAAAAGUGAAAGACGGUCUUGCUGUCACUUAUAGAUGGAUCCGCGCUGCAUUAGCUAGUUGGUAAGGUAACGGCUUACCAAGGCAACGAUGCAUAGCCGACCUGAGAGGGUGAUCAGCCACACUGGAACUGAGACACGGUCCAGAUUCCUACGGGAGGCAGCAGUAGGGAAUCUUCCGCAAUGGGCGAAAGCCUGACGGAGCAACGCCGCGUGAGUGAUGAAGGUCUUCGGAUCGUAAAACUCUGUUAUUAGGGAAGAACAUAUGUGUAAGUAACUGUGCACAUCUUGACGGUACCUAAUCAGAAAGCCACGGCUAACUACGUG
rnacentral:rRNA from 1 species